rnacentral:rRNA from 1 species
AUUGAACGCUGGCGGCAGGCCUAACACAUGCAAGUCGAGCGGAGCGGCGGACGGGGGCGUAAGGCCAGGGAAUCUGCCUGGUAGUGGUGGAUAAGGUCCGGUAACGGGAGCUAAUGCUGCAUACUUGCAGUUUAGCCUAGGUGGGAUUAGCUAGUGGGUGGGGUAAAGGCUCACCAAGGCGACGAUCUGUAACUGGUCUGAGAGGAUGAUCAGUCACACUGGGACUGAGACACGGUCCAGACUCCUACGGGAGGCAGCAGUGGGGAAUAUUGGACAAUGGGCGAAAGCCUGAUCCAGCCAUGCCGCGUGUGUGAAGAAGGUCUUAGGAUUGUAAAGCACUUUAAGUUGGGAGGCGUUACCAACAGAAUAAGCACCGGCUAACUUCGUGCCAGCAGCCGCGGUAAUAC